UACAGAGGUCCCGAGCGUUGUUCGGAUUCACUGGGCGUAAAGGGUGCGUAGGCGGUCGGGUAAGUCUGAUGUGAAAUCUCACAGCUUAACUGUGAAACUGCAUUGGAUACUAUCCGGCUCGAGGAAUGGAGGGGAGACUGGAAUACUUGGUGUAGCAGUGAAAUGCGUAGAUAUCAAGUGGAACACCAGUGGCGAAGGCGAGUCUCUGGACAUCUCCUGACGCUGAGGCACGAAAGCCAGGGGAGCAAACGGG
rnacentral:rRNA from 1 species